rnacentral:tRNA from 1 species
ACUUAAAUAACUUAUAUUGUAGAGUGUAAUAUUGAAGAUAUUAAUGAGAUUAUUAAAUCUUUAAGUA